GACGAACGCUGACGGUGUGCUUUAGACAUGCAAGUCGAACGAGAAAGCCCUUCGGGGUGAGUAAAGUGGCGAACGGGUGAGUAACACGUGGGCAAUCUGCCCCUCGCAGGGGGGACAACCGGGGGAAACCCCGGCUAAUACCCCGUAAGCUCGAAAGGCCGCAUGGCUUUUCGAGGAAAGGUAGCUUCGGCCAUCCGGCGAGGGAUGAGCCCGCGGUGCAUUAGCUAGUUGGUGGGGUAACGCCCACCAAGGCGACGAUGCAUAGCUGGUCUGAGAGGAUGAUCAGCCACACUGGGACUGAGACACGGCCCAGACUCCUACGGGAGGCAGCAGUCGGGAAUCUUGCGCAAUGGGCGAAAGCCUGAC
rnacentral:rRNA from 1 species